GUGCACACAGACCUUGCCUGGAUCUUUUCGAAACCAGUGGUGGAUGGCCAAGAUUCAUUUCCACUUAUUUCCCAUGCAAAAGGCAAAGUUGUCAGCUGUUUGGUGAAUAUUUCAGAGCUCUGGCCUAGAAGAAUCUCCUGGAACCCUGGCUGCCUGGAGCUCCUGCCUCCCAUUGCCUGUCAAGGUCCUUCCACAGCAACACCCCUGGGCAGCAGCACACACUUCUGCAACCACCAUCCAAAUUGGUGUGUCCAAGACUUCAUGGUCGGAACUCAUUGCUGCAAAUUUCCAAACCGUUUCCAGAGUAACUAUCAUCAUAACAGCUGCCAUCUCUGGAGUGCCCAGCAUUGGGCUGAGGGUUAACCACUUAUUGUCUCUUCUACAUGUGAAAAUAACCUUAUGAAGAGGUCCCCAGGUAUCAAUGUCAGCAACAAUCCGUGUCCAACAUCUUCAAAAUGUUUGGGCAUUUACCCUCCCCAGAGUCCAGUUACCCAAGGAAAUGGCUGCAGG